rnacentral:tRNA from 1 species
GGUGCCGCGCCGGAUUUGAACGGAUAACUCUGAUGACGUUAAUUAUGGGGUCCUACCCCCGUCACCU